AAGUCCUAUUCUAUUCUAUUUGUAAUACAUCUAAAUAUUUCAGCAUCUCCUGCCAGUACAAGCUCUUCUACAGCCGAGUCUCCAACAGCAGAACCUACAAUCUUUGCCACAACAAACUCUCCAUCAACUGUGUAUCCAACAUCCACUCCUUCAUGUAAGUUAUUAUUGUGUGAUCAUUUUAAGGGGAAAUGAUAAUUGUAGGUCUGACUUAAUUAGAAUUAUGUGAUUUUGUGCACUAUUGUUUUAAUACAUUUAAAUAUUUCAGCAUCUCCUGCAUUUACAAGUUCUCCUACAACUGAGUCUCAAACAGCAGAACCUACAAGUAAGUAAUAUAUAUAUAUAUAUAUA
rnacentral:lncRNA from 1 species